GGUAUGUAGCAAAAUGGUUUUGCAGCGGUCUUUUAAACCGUAAGACGCAGGUUCGAAUCCUGUCAUGCC
rnacentral:tRNA from 1 species